rnacentral:rRNA from 1 species
UACGUAGGGUGCAAGCGUUUAAUCGGAAUUACUGGGCGUAAAGCGUGCGCAGGCGGUUUUGUAAGUCUGUCGUGAAAUCCCCGGGCUCAACCUGGGAAUUGCGAUGGAGACUGCAAGGCUAGAAUCUGGCAGAGGGGGGUAGAAUUCCACGUGUAGCAGUGAAAUGCGUAGAGAUGUGGAGGAACACCGAUGGCGAAGGCAGCCCCCUGGGUCAAGAUUGACGCUCAUGCACGAAAGCGUGGGGAGCAAACGAGG